AGCUGAUACUUCCCCCGUGGGUUUGUAAGGAAACACAGCUGGAGAAAAACUCAAGUCCCAGAGGAAGACCACCUGCCAUUUCUGAGCAGCCCAUGGCCUUUGUCCCUCCGCAGCGGCAGGAAGGGACCCCCGGCCCCGCCGGCACCUUCACACAGGAGACUCACCAGGGAAGCUCCGCCGCCUGAUGUGAAGCGGGUGAAAGGGGCCUCCUUGGGGAGCCCAGAAGUUUCAAGCGUUCCUUUGAUUACUCUUCCAUAAACGAACGUGAUUCUCGGCGAAGAAACUGAGUCCGAUUGAUGGGAUGACUUGAGGCGCAGCUCGCAGUGUCAGUCCCUCAGCCCAACGGUCACCAUAAUAUAAUGUUGAUGACACUUCUCAUCCACAACCACCCAAGGGAGAGGCCCCAGCUCAAGGAAUCCCUGAUUGGAUCCUGAAAACCUUAGCGUGGUGAGGAUGGCUCCAAGAUGGCCUCACACCUGGAGCACAGCCUCGGAACUGGUGUGCCCUCAGGAGAGUUCUCCAGCUGAACAGACACAUCCCGGCUGAUCUCAGAGACCUGUAACCUUGGAGAUCACCUCUUCUGGCCUCUGGACCAAAGCCGACACAUCUGGGAUCGGGACGACGGACUUAUUUUACCCAUUGGGAGGCGGGAGCCGGAGAGAGCAGACGCUUCACACAUGGCCGAGAUAAGAUUUUUUCCUCACACGUUUUCAUUUUUAUUUGUCUUUUUACGUCCUCGUUGUUUUCUCGUUAUCCCUCCUCCCCUCAAAGACUCCUGCAAAUUAAUAGCAAAUAAAAUUUAUAACAACUAAAAAACUUUCAGGACAAAAAAAUAAUUUAAACCCAGGGGACAGAAUCACAUAAUCUCAGAGUUGGAAAAGAUGCCAGAAGCUUUCUCAUCAAACCAGAAAGAAAAAAAUUUUUUACGAUAUCGUUUUAUUUUAUAUUUUAAAUUCACGUAAAAAUAAUUUUCAACUAACAAGCAGAUAUUUUCUUUCCAGCCUCUACACAAUGAGAAAAAAAAAAAAAAACGAAAGAAAGAAAAAGAAAACCUUUGUACAUAUGCACAGUCAAGCAAAACAAAUCCCCACCUUGGCCACGUCCCAAACGCGCCUCAUUCUGCACAUUUCCUCCCCCACCUCUGGGAACAGAAGGUGUGGUGAGCUCCAUCCUCGGGCCUCUGGAAGCGAGCUGAUCACAGCGCCGAGCCAAGUUCUCAAGUCUCUCCAAGUCCCUCGCUGUGGUGACGAGAGAACAAGUCGUCCUUCUGCUUCUGCCUGGGAUACUGAAGUUCAGAGCGAUGGAUUAGCCUGCCAGUCUAGCCCGUGCAAUACCAACCUGCGACCGAAUUGUCUGCCAGGUUGGCAGGCUUUCCCAAUCUGGUGCCAGCUCCAGUGAUAAACAUACUGGGCAGUGAAGUGGCGAGAACGCCGGGUCUGGAGUCAGAAAGAACCGAGUUCAAAUCCAGAUUCAGGGUGUGCUGGCCGUGUGACCGAUAGAGAUCAUACCAGCAACCACCUCCCAGGAGUGUUGUGAGGACCCAAUGAGAUCAUAUUUGUAAAGGGCGGGCACAGUGCCUGGCACUCCAUCGUGAUUGUGAAUUGUCGUUGCUAAUGGUCAUCGCUAAACAUCAUUGCUAAUGAGGUUAAGCAGCGCAGGACCAAGGACAGAUCCCCCUGCUGGGGCAUCCCUGGAAAAUCUGGGCUCCAGUCUUCUCUUCUGAGCCCCACUCCCGCGUCUCCAACUGUGUGCCGGGCAGCCACACCCGAACAGCUUGCUGCCACCUUAAAAUGCCCAGAUUUGCCAUCCCCACACAGAGCCCACCAUGUUCUUUCUCCUCUUCACCGCCCUGCUCCCCGGGAUGCUAACCCGUCCUCCCAGCCACGUUUAACCUCAGCAGCAUCUUUGACUCUCCCCUUUCCCUCACUCCCACAUCUAAUGGACAAAUAUUUACAAACCCUCAGAUCCCAGUCCUGAGACUCGAUGUGACCCUGGGCAAACUGCCAUUGCUACGGCCUUGAGCAGUUCCCCAGAGCUCGUCUCUGUCUUGGAGGGUUCCUAGUCUUCCUUUUAGAUCAUGUGCUAGACUGAUGUUCCUCAGUGGGGUGACAAGUCCAAAAUGGGGCAUCAGCUCUGCCCUGUAAGAGCCUGGGAUCUAGCUGAAGGUUUGGUUACUUUCCACAAUUAAUUCUAGGCCUCUCUGAACCUCAGGUGCCUCAUCUGUAAAAUGGCCAUCUUGUAUGAAAUGACCUUCAGGGUCUCUUCCAACUUGAAAUCCACGGACAAGUGCCCAGAGAAGGGUGUCCGGGGUGGUCAGGGCUGGGGAUUGCGCCGUGUGGAGCGCUGGCUGGAGGAACCUGGCGUGCUUAGCCCGGGGACUGAGGACACAAAUUGCAGGCAAUCUCCAGCCUAUCACUGGGUGGGGAUACUGGAAGGUCCCAGGUCCAGCCGCCAGACUCACUGACUCUCCCCUCUGAAACUACAGACCCCAUCCCGACAGAGCCGAAGCCCUUCAGACUCCUACCCAUUUACUAGAAUCCUGUGGGUGCUGUGCCCUGAAUAAGGGGGACAAGGGACAUCUGCUGAUGGUAGAUUGUGUGGACGUGUGACAGAUUUUCACGCACAGACAUUAAAGCACUGACCACUCA